GGCAAAUUCAAGUGUUCUUGUUUAUUAAGGAAAAAGUCAGAGUUCUUAUAGACAUUCCAUUCAAUGUACUCCAAUGAGUGGUACAAAACUAAACAAUUUAAUUGGCUAGUAUACUGUUUGUCUUUCCCAGCUCCAUGAUGUAGAGAAGAGUGUUGUUGUACUUUAUGUGUAACACUUAAAGGACCACUCUAGGCACCCAGACCACUUCAGCUUAAUGAAGUGGUCUGGGUGCCAGGUCCAGCUAGGGUUAACCCAUUUUUUCAUAAACAUAGCAGUUUCAGAGAAACUGCUAUGUUUUAUGAAUGGGUUAAGCCUUCCCCUAUUUCCUCUAGCGGCUGUCUCAUUGACAGCCGCUAGAGGCGCUUGCGUGCUU